rnacentral:rRNA from 1 species
UACGUAGGUGGCAAGCGUUGUCCGGAAUUAUUGGGCGUAAAGCGCGCGCAGGUGGUUUCUUAAGUCUGAUGUGAAAGCCCACGGCUCAACCGUGGAGGGUCAUUGGAAACUGGGGAACUUGAGUGCAGAAGAGGAAAGUGGAAUUCCAAGUGUAGCGGUGAAAUGCGUAGAGAUUUGGAGGAACACCAGUGGCGAAGGCGACUUUCUGGUCCGUAACUGACACUGAGGCGCGAAAGCGUGGGGAGCGAACAGG